rnacentral:rRNA from 1 species
UACGUAGGGCGCAAGCGUUAUCCGGAAUUAUUGGGCGUAAAGAGCUCGUAGGCGGUUUGUCGCGUCUGCCGUGAAAGUCCGGGGCUCAACUCCGGAUCUGCGGUGGGUACGGGCAGACUAGAGUGAUGUAGGGGAGACUGGAAUUCCUGGUGUAGCGGUGAAAUGCGCAGAUAUCAGGAGGAACACCGGUGGCGAAGGCGGUGCUCUGGGCCGAAACUGACGCUGAGGAGCGAAAGCGUGGGUAGCAAACAGG